GUCUACCCACCGGGUAUGUUCAUUNACCCUUUUGUUGUCCCGAACUUCUGUUGCCUCCGGGGCGACCUUGCCCCGGGCGGGGGCUCCGGGUGGACACUUCAAACUCUUGCGUAACUUUGCAGUCUGAGUAAACUUAAUUAAUAAAUUAAAACUUUUAACAACGGAUCUCUUGGUUCUGGCAUCGAUGAAGAACGCAGCGAAAUGCGAUAAGUAAUGUGAAUUGCAGAAUUCAGUGAAUCAUCGAAUCUUUGAACGCACAUUGCGCCCCCUGGUAUUCCGGGGGGCAUGCCUGUUCGAGCGUCAUUUCACCACUCAAGCCUCGCUUGGUAUUGGGCAUCGCGGUCCGCCGCGUGCCUCAAAUCGACCGGCUGGGUCUUCUGUCCCCUAAGCGUUGUGGAAACUAUUCGCUAAAGGGUGUUCGGGAGGCUACGCCGUAAAACAACCCCAUUUCUAAGGUUGACCUCGGAUCAGGUAGGGAUACCCGCUGAACUUAAGCAUAUCAAAG
rnacentral:rRNA from 1 species